CCCUACGGGGCGCAGCAGGCGCGAAAACUUUACAACGCCGGCAACGGCGAUAAGGGAACCUCGAGUGCCAGGUUAUAAAUCUGGCUGUCGUGAUGCCUAAAAAGCAUUGCAUAGCAAGGGCCGGGCAAGACCGGUGCCAGCCGCCGCGGUAACACCGGCGGCUCGAGUGGUAACCGUUAUUAUUGGGCCUAAAGGGUCUGUAGCCGGCCGGAUAAGUCUCUUGGGAAAUCCAGCAGCUCAACUGUUGGGCUUCCAGGAGAUACUGUCUGGCUCGAGGCCGGGAGAGGUGAGAGGUACUUCAGGGGUAGGGGUGAAAUCCUGUAAUCC
rnacentral:rRNA from 1 species